UACAGAGGUCCCAAGCGUUGUUCGGAUUCACUGGGCGUAAAGGGUGCGUAGGUGGUCGGGUAAGUCUGAUGUGAAAUCCCGCAGCUCAACUGCGGAAUGGCAUUGGAUACUAUUUGGCUAGAGGGUUGGAGGGGGGACUGGAAUUCUCGGUGUAGCAGUGAAAUGCGUAGAUAUCGAGAGGAACACCAGUGGCGAAGGCGAGUCCCUGGACAACUCCUGACGCUGAGGCACGAAAGCUAGGGGAGCAAACAGG
rnacentral:rRNA from 1 species